UGCAUUCAAGUUUUUGUGUGGACAUGUAUUUUUAUUUCUCCAAGAUAGAUACCUGGGAGUGAAAUUUAUUAGGUUAUAUGGUAACUCCAUGUUUAACUGAUCAAGUAACUGCUAGAUGUUUUCCAAAGUGGCUAUACCAUUUUACAUUUCCACCAGUAGUGUAUAUAAAUUCCAAUUUCUCCAGUUGUUAUUAUCUGACAUUUUUACUUUAGCCAUCCUAGUGAGCAUGAAGAAGUAUCUCAUUGUGGUUUUGAUUUGCAUUUCCGUGAUGGCUAAUGAUGUGGAGUAACUUUUCAUGUAUAUAUUGACCAUUUGAUUUAGAUGUGCUAUUUUAAAUAUUUUGAUUUUCUUGACUAUAGGCCACAUUUUCUUAUUUGUUCCUUGACUCAGGGUCUUAAAAGACAAAACUUAAGGUAUUGGCUGAUCUGUGUUGUCAUCUAGAACUCUGGGUCCUCUUCCAAGUUCAUGUGAUUGUGACAGAAUUCAGUUCCCUGUGGUUGUAUGACUAAGAUCCCCAUUUCCUUGCUGCCUGUCAAUUAGUGGCCACUCUCAGCUCCCAGAGGCCACCUGCAUUUCUUGCCACAUAGCCCUCUCCAUUUUGAAGCUAGAAUGGGGAACAUUUUAUGCAUUAGAUCUCCCUCAUGCUUUUACUCUCUGGCUUCUUCUGGCCCACCUGAAUAACCUCCUUAUCUACAGUCAACUGAUUUAGGAUAUCUACAAAAUUCCUUUCCAGGAGUACCUAGGAUUUGUGUUUGACUGAAUAACUGGACAAAGGUGUAUGUAAACUAGGAACUGGAAAUGAUAGGGUCAUCUUCAAAUUCUGCUUAUGACAAUCAGUGUUGCUCUACCAGCUUUUUAUUUUGUUAGUGACAGCCUAGUGUAUUUUUUUCUAUAAUAGUAUGUUUUCUGUACUCUCAGGUUUAAAUGUCUUCUUAACAACAGAUUAACAGCUGGAUUUAAGAAAGUAACAAUUUUGGAAUCUCCAGUGUGUAUCUGGUGAAUUUACCUCACUUAGUGAUUACUGACAUAUUUAGAAUUAUUUUUUUUUAUCAUUUUUUGUGCUUCCAUUUACUCUUUUUUUUUUUUUUUCUCUUUACCACUUCUCUCCCCUUCUACUGGUUUGGUAGUUAUAUAUUCUGUCAGUGGCUUUUGUAAAAUUAAUGAUUUUAUUAACCAGUCUAAAGUUAAUCAGUAUAUUUGUCCUCCAGACAAAUAAGACAGGAACCUUAAAAUUAUGUUAAUUCUAAUUAUCUCACUUUAUUCUUAGAGAAAAAAAUGGAUUGCUUAUACAUUAAUGAUAGUCUGCUAACAGAUUUCUCAUCAGCAUCAGCAGAAUACAGCAAAGAAAUAUCAUCUAAGAGUUGAGGUAAAUGAACUGUUGGUUAAAAGUCAAUAACCAAUGAAAAUAUCAUUCAAGGGCAAAACUCACAGAUUCUUCCCAAGGGAACACUAAUGAUAUACUUCAGUCACAGGAAAACAAUAUGGAAGAGUGGGAUAUGGAGAAAAGAAGAGUGGAGAAGCUAAGUAUCAAACUUGUGUGAGGCACACAGCUAAAGACUACAGCUAGGAGAAUGUCCUCUUGCUCAGAAAUGGCAUGGGACUCAAAAAGCAAUUCUAACUAUCUGCAUUUAUUCUUUUAGCUCAUGGGUGACCGAGAGAGUGCUAAUGUCUAUGAGUUCUAGAAUGUAUAAGAAAAAUUUACUCAGGCACUAUCCUUCAAAUUAAAGAGAACAUGGAACAACAA